rnacentral:ncRNA from 1 species
AACUGAAAAAGGCAAACUUGUCGAAAGGCAAGGACGCAAAGCUAUGGGCCUACCCAAUGUCAUCAUUGUAUGGUCGCCAAGCUGCCAGG